GUGGGGAAUUUUGGACAAUGGGGGGAACCCUGAUCCAGCCAUGCCGCGUGUGUGAAGAAGGCCUUCGGGUUGUAAAGCACUUUUGUCAGGAAAGAAAGGUCGCCGGAUAAUACCUGGCGGACAUGACGGUACCUGAAGAAUAAGCACCGGCUAACUACGUGCCAGCAGCCGCGGUAAUACGUAGGGUGCAAGCGUUAAUCGGAAUUACUGGGCGUAAAGCGUGCGCAGGCGGUUCGGAAAGAAAGAUGUGAAAUCCCGGGGCUCAACCUCGGAACUGCAUUUUUAACUACCGGACUAGAGUAUGUCAGAGGGGGGUAGAAUUCCACGUGUAGCAGUGAAAUGCGUAGAGAUGUGGAGGAAUACCGAUGGCGAAGGCAGCCCCCUGGGAUAAUACUGACGCUCAUGCACUAAAGCGUGGGUAGCAAACAGGAUUAGAAACCCCAGUAGUCC
rnacentral:rRNA from 1 species